rnacentral:rRNA from 1 species
AUUGCCUUAGUAACUGCGAGUGAAGCGGCAAGAGCUCAAAUUUGAAAUCUGGCACCUUCGGUGUCCGAGUUGUAAUUUGUAGAAGCAUCUUUUGGAUUGGUCCUUGCAUAUGUUCCUUGGAACAGGACAUCAUAGAGGGUGAGAAUCCCGUUCAUGGUGGGGAACCCAAUUCUUUGUAAAGUGCUUUCGAAGAGUCGAGUUGUUUGGGAAUGCAGCUCUAAGUGGGUGGUAAAUUCCAUCUAAAGCUAAAUAUUGGCGAGAGACCGAUAGCGAACAAGUACAGUGAUGGAAAGAUGAAAAGAACUCCGAAAGGAGAGUGAAAAAGGACGUGAAAUUGUUGAAAGGGAAGUGCUUGAGAUCAGUCUUAAGGUUUAGUGAUCAGUCUUCCUUUUGGUUGGUGCACUCACUAUUUCUUAGGCCAACAUCAGUUUUGGCGGCAGGAUAAUGACAUUGGAAUGUGGCUCUUUCGGGAGUGUUAUAGCCUGUGCUGAUACUGCCUGCUUGGACUGAGGACCGCGCUUUUGCUAGGAUGUUGGCAUAAUGAUCUUAAGCAGCCCGUCUUGAAACACGGA